rnacentral:rRNA from 1 species
UACGAAGGGGGCUAGCGUUGCUCGGAAUCACUGGGCGUAAAGGGUGCGUAGGCGGGGCUUUAAGUCAGGGGGGAAAUCCUGGAGCUCAACUCCAGAACUGCCUUUGAUACUGAAGAUCUUGAGUUCGGGAGAGGUGAGUGGAACUGCGAGUGUAGAGGUGAAAUUCGUAGAUAUUCGCAAGAACACCAGUGGCGAAGGCGGCUCACUGGCCCGGUACUGACGCUGAGGUGCGAAAGCGUGGGGAGCAAACAGG